AGAGUUUGAUCCUGGCUCAGAAUCAACGCUGGCGGCGUGCCUCAGACAUGCAAGUCGAACGCGAAAGCCUCCUUCGGGGGGCAAGUAGAGUGGCGCACGGGUGAGUAACACGUAGGUAAUCUACCUUUGGAUUGGGAAUAACCACCGGAAACGGUGGCUAAUACCGAAUAAUGCAGCGGCACCUAAUGGUGACAGUUGUUAAAGCGGGGGAUCGCAAGACCUCGCGCCUGAAGAGGAGCCCGCGGCGGAUUAGCUAGUUGGUGGGGUAACGGCUCACCAAGGCAACGAUGCAUAGCUGGUCUGAGAGGAUGAUCAGCCACACUGGGACUGAGACACGGCCCAGACUCCUACGGGAGGCAGCAGCCAGGAAUCUUGGGCAAUGGGCGAAAGCCUGACGCAGCGACGCCGCGUGCGGGAAGAAGGCCUUCGGGUUGUAAACCGCUUUCAGGAGGGACGAAGCCACUCGGGUUAAUAGCCCAGAGGGUGACGGUACCUCCAGAAGAAGCCCCGGCUAACUACGUGCCAGCAGCGGCGGUAAUUC
rnacentral:rRNA from 1 species